UACGUAGGGUGCGAGCGUUGUCCGGAAUUACUGGGCGUAAAGAGCUCGUAGGUGGUUUGUCGCGUUGUCCGGUGAAAACUCACAACUCAAUUGUGGGCGUGCGGGCGGUACGGGCAGACUGGAGUACUGCAGGGGAGACUGGAAUUCCUGGUGUAGCGGUGGAAUGCGCAGAUAGUCAGGAGGAACACCGGUGGCGAAGGCGGGUCUCUGGGGCCGUAACUGACGCUGAGGAGCGAAAGCAUGGGGAGCGAACAGG
rnacentral:rRNA from 1 species